UCCACUGUCCUAGUAGCCGCGGCGCUGACGUGUCACCACCCGCGGUGUUCUACUAGUGCAGUAGCCAGGCGCGCUGUGUCCACUGUCCUAGUAGCCGUGGCGCUGACGUGUCACCACCCGCGCUGUUCUACUAGUGCAGUAGCCAGGCGCGCUGUGUCCACUGUCCUAGUAGCCGCGGCGCUGACGUGUCACCACCCGCACUGUUCUACUAGUGCAGUAGCCAGGCGCGCUGUGUCCACUGUCCUAGUAGCCGCGGCGCUGACGUGUCACCACCCGCGCUGUUCUACUAGUGCAGUAGCCAGGCGCGCUGUGUCCACUGUCCUAGUAGCCGUGGCACUGUCCUAGUAGCCGCGGCGCUGACGUGUCACCACCCGCGGUGUUCUACUAGUGCAGUAGCCAGGCGCGCUGUGUCCACUAUCCUAGUAGCCGUGGCGCUGACGUGUCACCCACCGCGCUGUUCUACUAGUGCAGUAGCCAGGUGCGCUGUGUCCACUGUCCUAGUAGCCGCGGCGCUGACAUGUCACCACCCGCGGUGUUCUACUAGUGCAGUAGCCAGGCGCGCUGUGUCCACUGUCCUAGUAGCCGCGGCCCUGACGUGUCACCACCCGCGGUGUUCUACUAGUGCAGUAGCCAGGCGCACUGUGUCCACUGUCCUAGUAGCCGCGGCGCUGACGUGUCACCACCCGCGCUAUUCUACUAGUGCAGUAGCCAGGCGCGCUGUGUCCACUAUCCUAGUAGCCGCGGCGCUGACGUGUCACCACCCGCGCUGUUCUACUAGUGCAGUAGCCAGGCGCGCUGUGUCCACUGUCCUAGUAGCCGCGGCGCUGACGUGUCACCACCCGCGGUGUUCUACUAGUGCAGUAGCCAGGCGCGCUGUGUCCACUGUCCUAGUAGCCGCGGCGCUGACGUGUCACCACCCGCGGUGUUCUACUAGUGCAGUAGCCAGGCGCGCUGUGUCCACUGUCCUAGUAGCCGCGGCGCUGACGUGUCACCACCCGCGGUGUUCUACUAGUGCAGUAGCCAGGCGCGCUGUGUCCACUGUCCUAGUAGCCGCGGCGCUGACGUGUCACCACCCGCGGUGUUCUACUAGUGCAGUAGCCAGGCGCGCUGUGUCCACUAUCCUAGUAGCCGCGGCGCUGACGUGUCACCACCCGCGGUGUUCUACUAGUGCAGUAGCCAGGCGCGCUGUGUCCACUGUCCUAGUAGCCGCGGCGCUGACGUGUCACCACCCGCGGUGUUCUACUAGUGCAGUAGCCAGGCGCGCUGUGUCCACUAUCCUAGUAGCCGCGGCGCUGACGUGUCACCACCCGCGGUGUUCUACUAGUGCAGUAGCCAGGCGCGCUGUGUCCACUGUCCUAGUAGCCGCGGUGCUGACGUGUCACCACCCGCGGUGUUCUACUAGUGCAGUAGCCAGGCGCGCUGUGUCCAAUGUCCUAGUAGCCGCGGCGCUGACGUGUCACCACCCGCGCUGUUCUACUAGUGCAGUAGCCAGGCGCGCUGUGUCCACUGUCCUAGUAGCCGCGGCGCUGACGUGUCACCACCCGCGCUGUUCUACUAGUGCAGUAGCCAGGCGCGCUGUGUCCACUGUCCUAGUAGCCGCGGCGCUGACGUGUCACCACCCGUGCUGUUCUACUAGUGCAGUAGCCAGGCGCGCUGUGUCCACUAUCCUAGUAGCCGCGGUGCUGACGUGUCACCACCCGCGGUGUUCUACUAGUGCAGUAGCCAGGCGCGCUGUGUCCACUGUCCUAGUAGCCGCGGCGCUGACGUGUCACCACCCGCGGUGUUCUACUAGUGCAGUAGCCAGGCGCGCUGUGUCCACUAUCCUAGUAGCCGCGGCGCUGACGUGUCACCACCCGCGGUGUUGUAUUAGUGCAGUAGCCAGGCGCGCUGUGUCCACUGUCGUAGUAGCCGCGGCGCUGACGUGUCACCACCCGCGCUGUUGUAUUAGUGCAGUAGCCAGGCGCGCUGUGUCCACUGUCGUAGUAGCCGCGGCACUGUCGUAGUAGCCGCGGCGCUGACGUGUCACCAGCCCGCGCUGUUCUACUAGUGCAGUAGCCAGGCGCGCUGUGUCCACUAUCCUAGCGCUGUGGCGCUGACGUGUCACCACCCGCGCUGUUCUACUAGUGCAGUAGCCAGGUGCGCUGUGUCCACUGUCCUAGUAGCCGCGGCGCUGACGUGUCACCACCCGCGCUGUUCUACUAGUGCAGUAGCCAGGCGCGCUGUGUCCACUGUCCUAGUAGCCGCGGUGCUGACGUGUCACCACCCGCGGUG
rnacentral:lncRNA from 1 species